AUUGAACGCUGGCGGCAUGCUUUACACAUGCAAGUCGAACGGUAACAGGCCGCACGUUGCUGUCGGGUGGUGGACGGGGGCGUAAUGCUAAGGAACGUGCCCAGUCGCUGUGGGUAUCUACUCGAAAGAGUAGAUAGUACCGCAUACGAGCUAUGGUAUAGAGCGGGGGACCGUAAGACUGCACGAGAUUUGAGCGGCCGAUGUCAGAUUAGGUAGUUGGUGGGGUAAAGGUUUACCAAGCAAACGAUUAGUAGCGGGUCUGAGAGGACGACCCGCCACACUGGGACUGAGACACGGCCCAGACUCCUACGGGAGGCAGCAGUGGGGAAUUUUGGACAAUGGGCGCAAGCCUGACCCAGCAAUGCCGCGUGAAGGAAGAAGGUCUUCGGGUUGUAAACUGCUUUUGUAAGGAACGAAACGGCUCUGAUUAAUACACGGAGCUAAUGACGGUACCGUAAGAGAAAGCACCGGCUAACUACGUG
rnacentral:rRNA from 1 species